AGUUGGAAACAACUGAACAAGAAGUAAGUCUCAGAAAUGUGGCAUGUGGCAAAUGCCUAAUAAAUAUUUAUUGACCAACUGACUUUCAACUUCACCAUACUGACUCUAUUCGAGAAGAAUUAGGAGAGGAUGGGUAUUAAAAGGAUGGUUUCAUCUGAUCUUCCUUCUCUUUUCCCCUGGUUGUCCUUCACUGCACAGAAAAAUAACAGAGAAAUAAAACUGUCUCUUAAGCAAUGGAAUGAAAUAAGCCCUCCAGAAGAGACCGGAUGCUGUUCCACAUCCCCUUCAAGGCCUCUGUUUGGAAAAUUCAAUUAUGGAGGACAAAAGCACCUUUUGUAUUCAGCAAAUGGAACAGUUUAAAAGAGAGAAUUUGAAAGAUGAUGCCUUUGAGAGUCUUCAUAGCUGGCGGGAGUGGGAAUGGAGGCUCAGUACCUAAGGGAGGAGUGGCUCCCAAGGGCUGGAAUAGCAAUAGAUUUCUUCUGAGACGAAAAAGGUGACAUACUCACAUUUUCCUAUUGGAAGCCAAACAAAAAAUGGAAAGGAGUACCAGACACUUACUGACAAUUGCCCUGGAGCAUAGAGAUGGCCAUAGAAAGUGACAAAGGGAAUUGUGAAGCAAGACCUUUAACAUCUGGGGUGCAAGGAACAAGUGUGUCAGAGCCUACAAGAGUUUGGGAAGAGUGUUUACAUUUCAGCUGCUCUGCUUACCUUCAGAAGUGUAGAGAAGCAAAAUAUACCCAGGCUGAGUGUGAAGAAACCCCAAAUUGGCUAGAAUAUAGCAAAGGGAAUUCAGAGUGGUUUAUCUGGUUGGAAAAUUCUCUGGGCAAAACAGUCUUGUUUUGCUGCUGGACACUGUAAUCCAAGACUGGAAAACAGACUGAUGAAAGGGUGAAAAUCUUUUCUCAACAGAAGAGUUGGUUAAGAGUGUUAAGACCAGGGGGAAUGCAUAGUAUUUCUCUUCAUCUGGGGUCCCCACAAUCAUGACUUUACCCUCCUUCCAGUUUCUACUUUGCCUGAUCCCUGCCUGUCCCAGCUCAGGCAGUCAAGAG